rnacentral:tRNA from 1 species
GCGGCGGUAGCUCAGUUGGCAGAGCGUCUGCUUCCCAAGCAGAAGGUCGCCGGUUCGAACCCGGUUCGCCGCU